GACGAACGCUGGCGGCGUGCUUAACACAUGCAAGUCGAACGGUGAAGCGCCUUCCUUUUUGGUGGGUGUGGAUGAGUGGCGAACGGGUGAGUAACACGUGAGUAACCUGCCCCCUUCUUCUGGAUAACCGCAUGAAAGUGUGGCUAAUACGGGAUAUUCUGGGUCUGUCGCAUGAUGGGUCUGGGAAAGAUAUUGUUUCGGUGGGGGAUGGGCUCGCGGCCUAUCAGCUUGUUGGUGGGGUGAUGGCCUACCAAGGCGGUGACGGGUAGCCGGCCUGAGAGGGUGGACGGCCACACGAGGACUGCGACACGGCCCAGACUCCUAGGGGAGGCAGCAGUGGGGAAUAGUGAACAAUGGGCGCAAGCCUGAUGCAGCGACGCCGCGUGAGGGAUGGAGGUCUUCGGGUUGUGAACCUCUUUCGCCAGUGAAGCAGGCCUGCCUCGUUUGUGGGUGGGUUGACGGUAGCUGGAUAAGAAGCGCCGGCUAACUACGUG
rnacentral:rRNA from 1 species